AUUGAACGCUGGCGGCAGGCCUAACACAUGCAAGUCGGGCGAGCGGCGGACGGGUGAGUAAUGUAGGGGGAUCUGCCUGAUGGCGGGGGAUAACUAAGGGAAACGGGAGCCAAUACCGCAUACCAUCAGCUGAACCCAUAUGGGAUUAGCGUGGAGGUGAGGUAAAGGCUCACCAAGCCGACGAUCUCUAUCUGGUCUGAGAGGAUGACCAGCCACACUGUGACUGAGACACGGCCCGGACUCCUACGGGAGGCAGCAGUGGGGAAUAUUGCGCAAUGGUGGCAACCCUGACGCAGCCAUGCCGCGUGAAUGACGAAGGCCUUCGGGUUGUAAAGUUCUUUCGUUAGCGAGGCGUUAACUACAGAAGAAGCACCGGCUAACUCCGUGCCAGCAGCCGCGGUAAUUC
rnacentral:rRNA from 1 species